rnacentral:rRNA from 1 species
GACGAACGCUGGCGGCGUGCUUAACACAUGCAAGUCGAACGGAAAGGCCCUGCUUUUGUGGGGUGCUCGAGUGGCGAACGGGUGAGUAACACGUGAGUAACCUGCCCUUGACUUUGGGAUAACUUCAGGAAACUGGGGCUAAUACAGGAUAGGAGCUCCUGCUGCAUGGUGGGGGUUGGAAAGUUUCGGCGGUUGGGGAUGGACUCGCGACUUAUCAGCUUGUUGGUGGGGUAGUGGCUUACCAGGGCUUUGACGGGUCGCCGGCCUGAGAGGGUGACCGGCCACAUUGGGCCUGAGAUACGGCCCAGACUCCUACGGGAGGCAGAAGUGGGGAAUAUUGCACAAUGGGCGGAAGCCUGAUGCAGCAACGCCGCGUGCGGGAUGACGGCCUUCGGGUUGUAAACCGCUUUCGCCUGUGACGAAGCGUGAGUGACGGUAAUGGGUAAAGAAGCACCGGCUAACUACGUG